UAAAAAAUCAAACAAAAGAAAACCUUGAUAUUUAAUUAAAACAGCAGCCAAGGAAAUAAUCAAUACUCGAUUUAAACAUAAGAAAAGACUUAAUAUUCAGACAUUAAGGAGGAAUUGGACUUGGAGAUACCUAAUUUCACAUAGAAACUCUAGCUGUGACGUUCCUGACCUAGGAUUCUUUGGGACUCUCUUCCCCUGAAGAUAUUCCCACUCCAAGAGACUGCAUCUAAAAGUUUGAAGCCAGUAAAAAAAGAAAUAUUGGUGUUUCGGGACUAUAAAGUGCUGGCAGGCAUAAGCUUGUAACUUUCUACUGAAGCUGUUUCAUUCAAAAGGUAGAAGAAAUCAUUUUUAUUUUCCUCUCUUCAAGAAAAUAUCUGUUUUAUUGGCUGUUUACUGCUUAUGCUAUUUUCUUACUUGGUAUUUUCAUCUGAAGAAAGCUUUUUAAGUUACGUUGCUUUAAUUUUUUUUUGGUUUUGAACAUUUUUCUUGGUAAAUUAGAGGGUGGUUUAAUUACUGGUCCUCUUCAUAGUAAUAGACCUUUUCCCCCUUGACAGUGAAAACAGUGAGGCUUGUUAAAUUAACCCUUGUGUUGGUUAGCAGAUCUCUCUCUCUCUCUCUCUCUCUCUCUUUCUCUCUCAGGCACCUAUCUUCCUAGUGUCUGUGUCGAGAUGGAAGAAGUGUGGGUUGUCUACUUGUCCCUGUUCUUGCUUGUCUUGGUGCUCAUUUUAAUGAAGCGUGACCCAGAUUUGGAGGCCGCAAAGAAAGUUAAGGAAACACCAAGCACCCCAGCACCAACCACCUAUUAUUCCAGUGGUGCUGGCAAACAUCUGGAAUACACUGAAGAAGAGAUGGAGAAAUCCCUGGAGAGGCUAACCAGCAUCUUGUAUGAGGUAGAUGCUAGAAAAAGGGAAACCCACCAUGAGCAGAAAACAGCAAAGGCAGAAGCCUAUCACCAUCACAAAGCACCUGACGCAGAGUCUGAAAAUAAAGAGCUAAUGGGAAAGGGGCCAGGACAUUCCCAGCAUCUAUCUAGCCAGCACAGGGUUCAGGAGAAAGCAACUCAUCCUGGAGGCCCUGGGAAUAUCAUGGAUGAGAUUGGUCUGAAAUGACUGUUCAGUCUGAGGCUGAUCAAAUCUAGAGGGGUUCCUGCUCCGGUUCCCGGUGUGUGCAGUGGCAGCUUGCAGAAGUAGUGACAUCACAGCCUUCCUGAAAAAGCCCUGGAGUAACAUGAAGAAGAGGAGGCUCUUCCUAAGCAUGGCAGAGAGGGGGAUGCUGCACAUUUGACAUUGUAUUUACUUUAAAAAAAAAAAGGCAACAACCCAAUCUCCCCGGGGAGGCCAGGUCA
rnacentral:lncRNA from 1 species